GGGGAGAACAGCGACACACAGUGGCCGGGAGGGGACAUGGUGGCGGGCUGGCUACAUUGCAGAUUCGACGAGCGCCAUCUUGUGCAAUUAACAGCAAUGUACAUGUGCUGCAGGAGAAACUGCAGGUCACAGCAAAACUGUUUGGCGUGUAGCCACAGAUUGUACUGAACAGCAGAGAUCAAUAAUCUUGAUGUGUAGAAUCCUAUCAACUCACAG